UGCCAGCCGCCGCGGUAAUACGGAGGGUGCAAGCGUUGUUCGGAAUUAUUGGGCGUAAAGCGCGUGUAGGCGGUUCGUUAAGUCUGAUGUGAAAGCCCGGGGCUCAACCCCGGAAGUGCAUUGGAAACUGGCGAACUUGAGUACGGGAGAGGAAAAUGGAAUUCUUAGUGUAGCGGUGAAAUGCGUAGAUAUUAAGAAGAACACCAGCGGCGAAAGCGAUCUACUGGACGAAUACUGACGCUGAGGCACGAAAGCCAGGGGAGCGAAGAGGAUUAGAUA
rnacentral:rRNA from 1 species